rnacentral:rRNA from 1 species
UACAGAGGUCUCAAGCGUUGUUCGGAUUUACUGGGCGUAAAGGGCGCGUAGGCGGCGUGUUAAGUCACUUGUGAAAUCUCUGAGCUUAACUCAGAACGGUCAAGUGAUACUGAUGUGCUAGAGUGCAGAAGGGGCAACCGGAAUUCUUGGUGUAGCGGUGAAAUGCGUAGAUAUCAAGAGGAACACCUGAGGUGAAGACGGGUUGCUGGGCUGACACUGACGCUGAGGCGCGAAAGCUAGGGUAGCAAACGGG